AGUGAACGCUGGCGGCAGGCCUAACACAUGCAAGUCGAGCGGCAGCGGGCUGUAGCAAUACAGUGCCGGCGAGCGGCGGACGGGUGAGGAAUACAUCGGGAUCUACCUUGUCGUGGGGGAUAACGUAGGGAAACUUACGCUAAUACCGCAUACGAACUACGGUUGAACGCGGAGGACCGCAAGGCUUCGCGCGAUUGGAUGAGCCGAUGUCGGAUUAGCUAGUUGGCGGGGUAAUGGCCCACCAAGGCGACGAUCCGUAGCUGGUCUGAGAGGAUGAUCAGCCACACUGGAACUGAGACACGGUCCAGACUCCUACGGGAGGCAGCAGUGGGGAAUAUUGGACAAUGGGCGCAAGCCUGAUCCAGCAAUGCCGCGUGAGUGAUGAAGGCCUUAGGGUUGUAAAGCUCUUUUACCCGGGAUGAUAAUGACAGUACCGGGAGAAUAAGCUCCGGCUAACUCCGUGCCAGCAGCCGCGGUAAU
rnacentral:rRNA from 1 species